rnacentral:lncRNA from 1 species
UUCCAAACGCAAGAGAAAAAAACGUCGAUAUCUGGCGGAUGGAGGUGGGGGAGGGAAGCAGGGAUUUUCUCUCUUCCCUCAGGCCUCGGGCCUCAGGUUCAUUGCCAGAGCUCUGGGUGGUGGUAGGUGAGGGCUACUCUUUCUGUUCUUGAAACUCCAAGUUCACGUUGGCAAAGCUGCUUUGUUCUACCCCAACCUGUUAUCCAACCCUGAUAUAAAACCAACGUCUCCACAAUUCUCAAGACGACCCAAAGUGGUCAGGAGCACGAAGGUGACUGAUUUCUGGGGCAGCACUGAGGCAAGAGGAUGGUGAUCCGGGCCGGCCUGGGCACCUUGGCCAGAGUGCUUGCCAAGCAGGUGUGAGGCCCUGGAAUAGCCAGCAGCACACUUAGUAAAAAUGGCACACUUUUGUCAACAGUAUAGAGGUCACACCUAUGAUGGUUUUUUAUUCACGUACAAAGAGACAAUAUCAUGUAAAAUUCCAAACAGAAGUGCACUUGAGCAGGGUGACACAUUCCACGUGACUCCGAAGACCGAAGUUCAAUCCAAGGUUAAUUAGGUGAUAACUAUUUGGAAUGGCAACGUUAUGAGUUGUAUAUUCCUAGCAUGCGCACCGAGUGACUCAUAUCUAAGUAAUACUGCCCCCUGAGAUAGUCCCCAUAAAGUAGAACACGUCUUUCUUUUACUUCAUCCAGUGCUUUCUCUAGGAAUUUCGUGGUGCUUUAAUACUGUCCAUAGCACAUUCUAGAAAGCCAGGCAGAGGAAGCUUUCAUUAAUCAGCACCCGGUUUCUUUUUUUCAUACCACGAAACGGCCAUACCGUGGGCGGAACCACGUAACGCAAACUGCCUGCGAAGCUGGGGCAGUCGGCGGAGACGCGACCCAGGCUGGCCCGGCACCAGAAACCAGCGGCAGGUGCGCUGCGCGGCCCGCCACACUCAAGAUGGAGCGCGCGGCUCCCAGGCGCUCAGGGCUGGCCCGCCGCCUCCUCCCGCCCCGCCUGUCUCUGAUUGGAGGACACGGCCCACCGGCUUUGUUGUCUGCGCGGCUAUUGGCCAGCCGUCCGAUCAGUCGCGGCACCACCCCCGCUCCUCGGAACAAGUAAACAAACAAGCCUCUCGGCCCGGCGCCGGCGGCCUCGGCGAGCUCUGCCUGCCAGGUCGUUUGUGCUGCCGCGUCCGGAACCGGGCGGGCCGGGGGCAACGCUGUUUCGGUGGAAGAAGUGCUACUUUCGGCGACUUUCCAGGCAACUGAAGGAUGAGCCCCGCCCACAUUCUGCUGUUUUGCUGACGUUUUCAGUCCCGUGAACCGAGUUCCCUCCCUGUUGCAGAGUCACGGUGUUGGGACAAAAGGACUCCUGCGUCUCCUUUCCCAAGAACGCACCCGCCUGGUUCCUUGUCAAGGGGGCGCAGGCUCGCUCAGUGCCUCGGGGCUGGGGAGAGAGCUCGGCGCGGUCCAGGCCGGCCGCGGUCACCCUCCGAGUGGGACCUCCUAGUGGGCCCUGCACUGCGAGGUCAGCACCCUCCGAGUGGGACCUCCCAGUGGCAGCUCCUGGCACGUCUCUGGGGAGGCUGCGGCUGCCCGUCUUCCCCCUCCAACCCUGUGCUCCCCGCCUGUUCCUCACGCCUACUUCCUAUGCACUAUUACUACUUACACCCUUCCUUUCAAACAGUCCACUUUUUACGGUAUUAACUUUGCCACAAGCAGUCAUAAUGUUGUGGAGUUAUGAAUUUGAUGUGCUGCUUAGCACUUUCACCUCUGUGUAGCAGAUAUCAAACCUAAACAGAAGGUUUGCAUCCCGCACGUCACCGGCAACCCUGCCGGUUCCCCCGACGCCUGUCAUCGCUGUGUCAUGCGUGCCCCGAAUUGUGGCCAGCCUGGUGUUCCAGGAGAAUGCCUUCUGGCCGGUCACUCUCUGGCUAGACCUCCCCCAUUCACCUCUGGCCUAUCUGUCCCUUCCUGGCUGUGUCCAGACCACUGCCUCGCAGACCCUCUUGUCUUGCUGUGAAUACUCACUUAGCCAUGGACAACUAGUUGCCCUUUCUUUCUAGAACAAGUAUUCCUCUGGUUAACUUCAGUUCUUCC